GAUGAACGCUAGCUACAGGCUUAACACAUGCAAGUCGAGGGGUAACGAGAGGAAAGCUUGCUUUCCUUGUCGACGACCGGCGCACGGGUGAGUAACGCGUAUCCAACCUGCCCCCAACUAGGGAAUAACCUUGCGAAAGUAAGACUAAUACCCUAUAAUUUCCUCAGAUGACAUCUGACGAGGAAUAAAGAUUUAUCGGUUGUGGAUGGGGAUGCGUCUGAUUAGCUUGUUGGCGGGGUAACGGCUCACCAAGGCAACGAUCAGUAGGGGUUCUGAGAGGAAGGUCCCCCACAUUGGAACUGAGACACGGUCCAAACCCCUACGGGAGGCAGCAGUGAGGAAUAUUGGUCAAUGGGCGGAAGCCUGAACCAGCCAAGUAGCGUGCAGGAUGACGGCCCUAUGGGUUGUAAACUGCUUUUAUACAGGAAUAAAGUUAGCCACGUGUGGUUAUUUGUAGGUACUGUAUGAAUAAGGACCGGCUAAUUCCGUGCCAGCAGCCGCCGUAA
rnacentral:rRNA from 1 species